rnacentral:rRNA from 1 species
GCCCAGACUCCUACGGGAGGCAGCAGUGGGGAAUCUUGGACAAUGGGCGCAAGCCUGAUCCAGCCAUGCCGCGUGAGCGAUGAAGGCCUUAGGGGUUGUAAAGCUCUUUCACCGGAGAAGAUAAUGACGGUUCCGGAGAAGAAACCCCGGCUACUCCG